CAAAUCAGGUAGGACUACCCGCUGAACUUAAGCAUAUCAAUAAGCCGGAGGA
rnacentral:rRNA from 1 species